rnacentral:tRNA from 1 species
GGGGAUGUAGCUCAGAGGUAAGGCACUUGCCUAGCAUGCACAAGGCUCUGAGUUCAAUUCCCAGUUUCCCCC